rnacentral:lncRNA from 1 species
UAGAUCACCACUUUGUACCCACAAGUGAUUUGAGUUGGGGAUCCAGGGGCAGCAGAGGUAACCAUCAGGAAGAUAUUUAAAGAAAUGAUACAUCACAGACGAGAAGCUGGGGGGAAAGAGACAUGCAGAGACCCGGUCAAAGGAUCAGACAAAGAGGAGGGAUUUUGAGGUUGCUGCAUCACAUGGGUCACAGAAGGUCAAUCACAUCACGCAGCAUAAACUGGAGACUGAAAAGGGUUGAAAUGCUGCCAUGCUUGACUAGCGGAAGGCACCAUCUGUGCAACACACAAGAUUCAGGUUCCGUCAGGGUGCAAGGUUCUCUGAGCUCCCUUUGGACUCCCACAGGCCCAAGGAACUCUACUGAAUAAAAAGCAAAAAUUAAAAAAAAAAAAAAAAAA